UGGGGAAUUUUGGACAAUGGGCGAAAGCCUGAUCCAGCAAUGCCGCGUGUGUGAAGAAGGCCUUCGGGUUGUAAAGCACUUUUGUCCGGAAAGAAAUCCUUGGCUCUAAUACAGCCGGGGGAUGACGGUACCGGAAGAAUAAGCACCGGCUAACUACGUGCCAGCAGCCGCGGUAAUACGUAGGGUGCAAGCGUUAAUCGGAAUUACUGGGCGUAAAGCGUGCGCAGGCGGUUUGCUAAGACCGAUGUGAAAUCCCCGGGCUCAACCUGGGAACUGCAUUGGUGACUGGCAGGCUAGAGUAUGGCAGAGGGGGGUAGAAUUCCACGUGUAGCAGUGAAAUGCGUAGAGAUGUGGAGGAAUACCGAUGGCGAAGGCAGCCCCCUGGGCCAAUACUGACGCUCAUGCACGAAAGCGUGGGGAGCAAACAGGAUUAGAUACCCUGGUAGUCCACGCCCUAAAACGAUGUCAACUAGUUGUUGGGGAUUCAUUUCCUUAGUAACGUAGCUAACGCGUGAAGUUGACCGCCUGGGGAGUACGGUCGCAAGAUUAAAACUCAAAGGAAUUGACGGGGUCAUAGCUGUUUCCU
rnacentral:rRNA from 1 species